CUCGAACGGAGAAUUUAGCAGAGUUUUUAGAUAAAAAGACGAGAGCUUAGAUCAUAACAUAUCUGGGGUUCUCCUUUUUAUAGGCGGAGGGUGCCACAGACUGAUAGCGACGUUCGUAACCGUCAGGUAGUGGGCCGCCCAUAGUCAGGUGGAAUUUAUUGCGAAGGGUAGUGGAGCGGAAUCGUGGCUAUUGCCGUAGCUCGCCACGUGGAAUCAGUUGCGAG
rnacentral:lncRNA from 1 species